GUGAGUCAUCGAAUCUUUGAACGCAUCUUGCGCUCCUUGGCAUUCCGAGGAGCAUGCCUGUUUGAGUGUCGUGAAAUACUCUCAAUUUCAAUCUUUUUGUUUGAAAUUGGAUUUGGACGUUUGUUGUGACCCUCUCAACUCGUCCUAAAUACAUUAGCGAAUCUAGCCUUGAUCACGCACGAUGUGAUAAAAUAUAACAUUGUUGAAGAUCAAGUCAAGUCGCUUCUAAUCGUCGAAAGACAACUUCAUGUCAUUUGACCUCAAAUCAGGUAGGACUACCCGCUGAACUUAAGCAUAUCAAUAAGCGGAGGA
rnacentral:misc_RNA from 1 species